AGAAUAAAGUUUCUGGCGCUGCGUAUUAUGUAAAGAGAAAAAUAUCCCCUGAUGCAUUAAAGAUUAAUAAGAAGACCAUUUUGUUCGCUGGAAAGAAUAAGUAUGACGGUAACAAUCAAAAGAAUAAAUUUAAAGCGGCACUUCAUUCCAUACUG